CAGACUCUGUCAUCCAUGUCUUUAUGGACCUUGUGUUACAUGGGGGGGGAUCGCAUCUUUCUGCGGGGUUCGUUCUCCAGUGAUGCAGACGGACGACUCCGGACCAGGCGCGCAGGCCAGUCAAGUUCAUCCCAAACCAGACUCUGUCAUCCGUGUCUUUAUGGACCUUGUGUUACGUGUGGGGAGGUGGCAUCAUUCUGCGGGGUUCGUUCUCCCGGGAUGCAGACGGACUAGAAGUCGGGCAGGUGGGGGGCCGCAUCUUUCUGCGGGGUUCGUUCUCCAGUGAUGCAGGCGGACGACUCCGGACAAGGCGCGCAGGUAGGAACAUGAUCUUAUCUUCAAAAAUCAAAUAUGAACCAGAAACAGAAAACGAGCAGAAAGAAAACGUGCCGAUCGCACGUAGGAACAUGAUCUAAUCUUCGAAAAUCAAAUACGUACCAAAAAC